rnacentral:tRNA from 1 species
GCCCCCGUAGCUCAGCUGGAUAGAGCGGCGGACUUCUAAUCCGCAGGUCCCAGGUUCGAAUCCUGGCGGGGGCG